rnacentral:rRNA from 1 species
CCUACGGGUGGCAGCAGUGGGGAAUAUUGCACAAUGGGGGAAACCCUGAUGCAGCGACGCCGCGUGAGUGAAGAAGUAUUUCGGUUUGUAAAGCUCUAUCCGCAGGGAAGAAAAUGACGGUGGCUGAUUAGGAAGCCCCGGCUAACUACUUGCCAGCAGCCGCGGUAAUACGUAGGGGGCAAGCGUUAUCCGGAUUUACUGGGUGUAAAGGAAGCGUAGACGGCAGCACAAGUCUGAAGUGAAAUGCCGGGGCUUAACCCCGGAACUGCUUUGGAAACUGUGCAGCUAGAGUGCAGGAGAGGUAAGUGGAAUUCCUAGUGUAGCGGUGAAAUGCGUAGAUAUUAGGAGGAACACCAGUGGCGAAGGCGGAUUACUGGACAGUAACUGACGUUGAGGCUCGAAAGCGUGGGGAGCAAACAGGAUUAGAUACCCGGGUAGUC